rnacentral:rRNA from 1 species
UACGUAGGGUGCGAGCGUUAAUCGGAAUUACUGGGCGUAAAGCGUGCGCAGGCGGUUCGUUGUGUCGGCGGUGAAAGCCCCGGGCUUAACCUGGGAAUGGCCGUUGAAACUGGCGAACUGGAGUGUGGCAGAGGGGGGUGGAAUUCCUGGUGUAGCAGUGAAAUGCGUAGAUAUCAGGAGGAACACCGAUGGCGAAGGCAGGUCUCUGGGCUGACACUGACGCUCAUGCACGAAAGCGUGGGGAGCAAACAGG